GGGAAGGCGAGGCCCGGGACCCACCGCCCAGGCCUGGCUGGGACGCACGGGUUCCCCCCCCCCCCCGCCCCCGGCGGUAGGAGGGGCGCUUAAAGGGAAAACGCGGGUCGGCGAGGUCGUUCAGGGUUGACCUUUGGGCCUCUGGCCAACUUGGGCGGUGGCCGGCGAAUCCCCGCCCAGCCAGGUGUCAGUCCUCGAGGCCAGGCCGGACACCGCCGGAGCGAGGGCCACGGGGACGGGGUGCUGGCGCUGCCCGCGAGACCUGACCCCAGCCCAGCGAGCGCCUUGCUGCCCUCGUCCCGUCCCAGCCCUCCGGAGAGAGGGCCCCGGGGGUCAGGGGCUUGGACGCUCCCGGGGGAAUAUAGGGCCUGGUCGCUGCAUCAAAAUGAAUUUUGUGAAGCGAUUUCCUGCCGCUAUAUUAAAAUGUAACCGGUGAGUUAGCCCGGGCGAGAAAGGAAGUGAAAAGGCUGGGAAUGGAAUCACAUUUUUCCCCUUGGGACGCAGACCCACUGCGAAAUUCUUCCACUGUGUUGUUUGUGUUCUCCGGCUUGCCUUUAAAAGACGAAAUUAUCUGGAUUCUGACAUCCUUCUUUUCAGGCCUGCUGAGUCACGGAAUAUUCUCAGCGCCAGAAUGACUCAGUUCGCAGAACCCGAGCCAGAAGAUCAUGAGUUUCGGUCCUAGAUCAGAACCUGGGCACUGGCCCAAUAUAGAGCAAAUGAUGACUGGGUCCGAGUGACAGUAGCCCAGCAGAAUGCGGCGGUUCUCAGACUUUUGAGUCCUCGAGCAAAGUGGAUGCUCGAAGUGAAUGCCCAGGAUGGAUUUUUUUUUUUUUAAACUUUUCAGAAAAGUAAGAAUACUACACGGUUUUAGAUCCAGUAGGCCUGUUCAGACAGGGAUAGUGGGGAUCUGAAACAAUAAAAUAAGUAAAUGUUAGGUGACUAUGGUUAGGGUCAGUGUUAGUCCCACAAUUACUAAUUAGGAGGGCCUUAGGCAUAAUGGUCUAGUUGGAUUGGGCGGAGGCCUGGGGCGUCCAGAGGACUUUGGCAGAGCCUGCUUUUUGAGUAUAUCAUCAUAUAUUGCUAUGAGGUAUUGUUCGUUUAUUGGAUGAGAUAGGUGGAGAUGAUACAUAGUUAGAAGUCUCAAACCAUUCACCCAGCACCCUCUUUUUGGGAGAAGGAAGUUGUGAGGACAAUAAUAAUGUUUAAUCCUUUCAUACUGGAGUUGAAGCAUCAGUAUAUUCACUUAUACCUAAAGGAGAUGAUAUCCUCAGCUCUUCCUUGUGCUUGGGAACAAAGGAGCAAAGAUAAAGACGUUGAUGGGGACUGAACCCAGGGCCUUGGCAUUCUAGGCAAGUGCUCCACCACUGAGCUAUACUCUAGCCUCAUUCUUCAUUUCAGUGGCACACAUUUCAUUUGUGAAAUUGUAUACAAACAACUGUAUACCAACAAUUGCACAAAAUCCAAGGGUAGAAUUCAGUAGUUGAAUGAAGUACCACAGAGUGCACACACCCCUGUAAUCACUGACCAGGUCUAAAAAUAAACAUUACUUUGACUCAAAAGCUCAUCCUGUCUCUUGCCAACCAGCAGUCCCAUUCUGCCAAAUGUAAAUUCUAUUCUUUCAUCAGUUCCCAUUUGAUAACAUAGAAACUUUGGAAGCAUUAGUUUUGCUGGCUUUUGAAUGCUGUUUAAAUGAAAUCCACACCUGCCUGGCAAGGGUGCACCUGCCUGGCAGGCGCAAGGUCCUGAGUUUGAUCAUGAGGUCAAGGCCAGCCUGGGCUACAUAGUGAGUUCAAGGGAAC
ensembl:lncRNA